GACGAACCGUGCAAACGUUGUUCGGAUUCACUGGGCGUAAAGCGCGCGUAGGCGGUUGUGUAAGUCCGUUGUUAAAGCCCCUGGCUCAACUGGGGGAGGUCAAUGGAGACUACACUGACUUGAGGGCAACAGAGGCACAUGGAACUCCCGGUGUAGCGGUGGAAUGCGUAGAGAUCGGGAAGAACACCCGUGGCGAAGGCGGUGUGCUGGGUUGCGACUGACGCUGAGGUGCGAAAGUGUGGGGAGCAAACGGG
rnacentral:rRNA from 1 species